rnacentral:rRNA from 1 species
CUACGUAGGUCGCAAGCGUUAUCCGGAAUUAUUGGGCGUAAAGCGAGUCUAGGCGGCUUGUUAAGUCAGAUGUGAAAAUGCGGGGCUCAACUCCGUAUUGCGUUUGAAACUGGCAGGCUAGAGUACUGGAGAGGUGGGCGGAACUACAAGUGUAGAGGUGAAAUUCGUAGAUAUUUGUAGGAAUGCCGAUAGUGAAGACAGCUCACUGGACAGAUACUGACGCUAAAGCUCGAAAGCGUGGGGAGCGAACAGGAUUAGAAACCCCAGUAGUCC